ACUAAAUGAGUUGGGGAAUUGAGUAUGAGCAGUAGGAAAAUAAGGCUGAGUCACAUUAAAAUCAGAAAGAGUUUUUAAACCUUCAAGCUAAGUUAUUAUAAUUAAGUUAGAGCUGGCAAAGCUAGGCCUUAAAACUCAGCACAGCUAUAACAUAAUGAGCAAGGAUUGUACGCGACUAUCAAGGCUAUGAAGCCUUAUAUAUAUAACUGUCCACCGUCUCUGUUCUUGUUUUGUUCAUUCCAAGCUCUCUUGCUCUUAUACCUCAUAGCAAACCAAAGCUUUGAAUUCUGAAAUUACAUAAGGAGAUAUUAGUGUUCGAAGAGAAAGUUGAAGAAAAAUCCCAGCAAAAACUUUGAUUAGCAGAAGAACUAGAAAAAAUUUCUUGAAGCAAGAGGUAAAAUUCUAUCUCUUGUUAUUUAUAAAAACUAAGUAGUAAUUGAUAUAUGUCAAAAUUGUUGACUGUGUUGGUUGGAAAUUGUUGUAGUGGGUAUGAUCAUAUAAGAUUCCUCGGUGAAAUCUGGGUUAGAGCACAUUUAGAAUUUUACGAAAUAGAAGCUUUGAGAUCAUGCUUAUAAGUUGUAUGAUAUAAUGUUCAAGUGAGAAUUUCCCGAAAAUUUAAGAAAUUAGAGAACUUAAGUCGAGUACGUCGUAUUAAGAAAUGUUGGGAACCUGUCUAAAGUCAUAUGGACUUACAGCAGCUAAGAAACAAAAUUUGAAAACUUGAUGAUUUCCAAUAAUGUAUAUCAUUCUAACAAAAUUUUUAGUUCUGCAAUUGAAAAAUCAAAACAGAGUAUGUCCCGAAGUGGUGCAGCCGCGCCACUUCCUAAGCCAAAACCGGUCUGUAGAAAUAGUUUUCUAAGUUUUUUGUUAGAUUAGCUUGGAUCAGGUAUAUAGAGGCCAAGCAUGUUGUAGUAACCUCAAUCCAUGUGUAUAGUAAGGUAGUUCUGAUUCUGGAUAAGCCUAGCUAUAAACAGAGCCGUUCCUGAGAUUUUGGUGGUCUGGGGUAAAAAAUGAAAAUGAGACAUUUUUCGAAACAUUGUCUUCACUCAAAAAUAGGUAAAAAUAAAUAAAUAAAAAGUACAAGUUGUAUCAAAAAAGUGCAUUUUCAGAGCUUAAAACAUAAUAGUUCGACUACAACAAAAUAUGUGAGAACUUCGACUACAACAAAAUAUAUGUGAAGUUCGACUACAACAAAAUAUAUGAAAAUACAUUCAUUUAAAGAUACUUCUUCUAAUAUUCUUAGAACCAAAAUAUUCAAUCAAAUGUUUAAAAUCAUAUAUAUAUAUAUAUAUAUAUAUAUAUAUAUAUAUAUAUAUGAGUUUGCAUCCGCAGCAACCGGUUGCUGGGAGCAACUCCUUUUUGGCCCAGCCGCUACAACAUGUUACAAUUUUUUUUUUGCUCCAGCCGCUACAACUAGGGGUGUUCAUUUUUUUCGGUUUUUUCGGUUUUUCGAUUUUCCGAACCGGACCGAACCGGUCGGUUCGGUAUAAAAAAGAGCCGGUCCGGUUCGGUACAAAAAAAUCGGUAUAUACGGAUUUUUCGGUACCGGUUUCGGUUCGGCGUUUUUAUGGUUCGGUAAAAACCGAACUGGACCGGUUAUACCGGUUUUCUAAUUUUUUAUUAUUAAUAAUAAUAAUAAUAAUAAAUAAUGAUUAUAAUAAUAAUAAUAAUAAUAAUAAUAAUAAUAAUAAUAAUAAUAAUAAUAAAAUAAUGAUUAUAAUAAUAAAAAUAAAAAUAAUAAUAAUAAAAUAAUGAUUAUAAUAAUAAUAAUAAUAAAAAUAAUAAAAUAAUAAUUAUAUUAAUUUUCGGUAAAAACCGGUACCGAACCGAUACCACCGGUACCGGUAUCGGUAUUAAGAUUUGGACGGUUUCGGUUUCGGUACGGUUUAGUCCGGUAAAAACCAGUUGAACACCCCUAGCUACAACAUGGGGCCAAAAAAGGGGGUUGCUCCCAGCAACCCGGUUGCUGUAGAUGCAACCCCUCUCUCUCUAUAUAUAUAUAUACACUAUAUAUAUAAAAAAAUUUGGGGCACCUCUUAUCGGGAGCCCAAGGCGAUUGACCCUCCCGCCUGUGCUCAGAAACGGCUCUGGAACCUAUAAAAGUAGUAAACGUUAACUAAUUGACCUUAGUUUGGUAAAAAGAAUUUACAUGAUAUACUGAAUUGAAUUUUAAUGGAGACCUGACUUAGCUUGGAAUUUCCAUGACAUAUGUGUUGGUUUGUGGCUAAUGGACCCUAGCAUAUCAAGAGUGAAGCAGGGUAAAGAAAAUCCAAUUUUUGGGCCUCAGCAGGAGUACUAGGGCAGUCGCGCCAUUCCUAGGACAAAUGGCAGCGCGUCGCGCCGUGCUGCAGAACUUUGGGACAUAAGAGUAUGAGUCUCUAAAUUUUAAUACAUGAGACGCAAGGUGUCUAGCCUAUCCAAACAUAGAAUAGAAUGACUAUGUUAAAUAAAGGUUGAAUAAGCAAUUUUAAAUAAAACCAAGGAACGAGAUAAAGAUAAUACAUUAAGUUAAUGUGAAUAAAGUUAAUACAUUAAGUUCAUGUUGACAGCUCAGGAGGAGCAAAUAAAGGAAAUGGAAAGACUGGAAGUAGAAGUACCUAUUAAAUAAAUUAUUUUUAGGUUUAAUGCUUUAUAACUUUCUUUGUCAAGUUCUUACUUCUUGACAAAGCUUGAUAGCUCUUCCUCCCAUUCCUUCCUUCCGAAUCUGUGGCCUCCCAAUCUCUUCUCCUCUCAACUUUCUUUUGCUCUAGAUCUUUUAUUUAGUAGAAUGAAAAAAUAAAUUCUUGCAAGUAUACUUGGAUUGGGUAUUUAUAGGAAGCUAAGACCAAGGGCACAAUAGUCAUUACGCCGUCACUAGGAAGAGCAAAAUGUUC
rnacentral:lncRNA from 1 species